CAUCAUUUUAUCUUUCGUCGGACUGAUUCCACGUCAUUGAUUCUCGAUUUCUUAGCCGUUGGAUGGAUUGGAAGGUCACCGCACUGUAACCCUAACACCAUCCGCAACUGAAUGCUUUUCGCCGGAGAAACGAAACGGACGCCACUCCCAUGGCGUGGUUAAUCAUCAAACGCAGCCUCUCCUGCUCUCCCUCGCCUCCCCCGGCCGAAACGCUAGCCUCCUCCGUGUUCACAAUCCUCAAGCACCACCGCUCCAAGUCGCGAUGGAACCAAAUCCGAUCUCUGUGCCGCCCCACCGGCCUCACCGCCGCUGAAGCCACCGAAAUCAUAGCCGGCCUACGCAACAGCCCCCACCUGGCGCUCCGCUUCUUCCUCUUCACGCUCCGUCACUCACUCUGCCAACACACCGUCCUGUCCUACUCCACUGUCAUCCACACGCUCUCCCGCCACCGCCUCAAAUCCAAAGCCAUAACCCUAAUGCAAUCUGCGCUGCGUCACUUUCCGGAUGAGAACAGCCCGGCGCUAAAAACUCCGAAGCUCUUCGAAACUCUGGUCAAGACUUACCGAGCGUGUGACUCGGCUCCGUUUGUUUUCGAUUUACUGAUCGAAGCUUGUUUGAGAUCCAGCCGAACAGAUCAGGCCGUUGAAAUUGCUCGGAUGUUACAGUCUCGAGGUAUUUCUCCUACUGUUAUCACCUGUAAUUCGUUAAUUAGGUCAGUUUCGAAGAGCCGUGGCUGUUUUGCUGGGCUUGACUUGUACAAGGAGCUUUCUGGGGUUGAUUCGGAGGCUAAAGCUAGAGGUCGUAACGUUGUUGUUCCAAAUGUGCAUACUUUUAAUGAGAUUAUGCUUGGUUUUUACCGAGAAGGCUUAGUGGAAAGCGUGGAAGAGGUUUGGAAGGAAAUGGGAGAACUGGGUUGUGAACCAAAUGCUUAUAGUUACAGCAUUCUGAUGGCGGCUUAUUGCGAGGAUGGGCAGAUGGGGGAGGCUGUGAAAUUGUGGGAGGGAAUGAGAAUCAAGGGUGUGGAAUAUGAUGCCGUGGCUUACAACACUAUCAUUGGUGGCUUUUGUAGAAUUGGAGAGGUUGGAAGGGCAGAAGAGGUCUUUAGAGAAAUGGGGUUGAGUGGUGUGGAGUGUUCUUGUGCCACUUUUGAGCACCUGAUAAGUGGAUAUUGUCAGAUUGGGGAUGUGGAUUCAGCAAUACUCUUGUAUAAAGAUAUGUGUAGGAAAGGUUUAAGGCCAGAGGGUUCAACGUUCGAUGCUAUCAUUGAAGGGCUGUGUGGAAAGAACAGGGUUUCUGAAGCUAUGGAGUUUUUGAGAGUUGCAGUAAGAAAAUAUGAGCUUUCACUGAAGGGUAAGAGCUACGAGUUUCUGAUAAAGGGGUUGUGCCAAGAGGGGAGAUUGGAAGAUGCAUUAAGGCUUCAGGCAGAGAUGGUAGGAAAAGGGUUUCAACCCAAUUUGGAGAUCUACAGUGCUUUCAUAGACUCAUACACAAAACAAGGAAAUCAUGAACUGGCUAGAAUGUUGAAGGAGGAGAUGCUGGAGACCCAAUUGCCUGAGGAAGAGGAAUAGAUGGUUUUCUCUUCUCCCCUUCUCUUGAGCUGCCUUUGAUUUUGGUGUUCAGUUUGCUGCACCUUCAAAUAGACGAAUUUGUUUAAAAAUUUAAACCCAUUCUAGUGCAUAUACUGCUGUAUUUAUCAGGAAUUGUCUUCUGUUUCCUAUAUGCAGCUUGCCAUUCCUUGAGAGUUCUUUCAGGAAGGGAGGAGGACUACCUUGAGUUGAAAGGGCGGACAUCCUUGAUCUGAAGUUUGCACACGGUUAAGUGACUGCAGUUAAGAACCUUGCUGCUUCAUAGUGCGGUUGGAUGAGAACACACCACCACUCACAAGCCUUUAUCCCCUGCGAAGGGUUGGGCAUAUGAGUUCCAAUUCUCCGUCUAAUAUAUGAUCAUAUUUUUUUGUAAGAAUCUUGGGAGAAGGUUUAUUAUCAUCAUUAUUAUUUUAUUUUAUUCGUACUUCUUUGCCA